UUCACUGGGUUCUCACUGUCCACAGGCAAAGGCAGGUAUUCAGCUCGACCAUCUCCAUCACCCUCCACAGCCAUUUCUGGCAUCUCCUGAACUUCUUAUCAUGCGGAAUGAAUUUUCUCUGCUCUCUAGACAGACCCGGUCAUUCUCCAGGGCCUCACCAUACAUUCUAUUCCUUGUGCUUACAUUAAAGUCAGGCUGAUUCUCUUCCCCGAGGGAAUGAUGGUUCAUUAAACAGCGUUGGUCACAUCUGGGAGGAAGGAUGAUAGUUUGCUGAUCACUCACCCAGGCUGAGGGCUCUUCUUGCCUAUGAGAAGAACGCAUCUCCAUUCACUACAGAAGAUGGAAUGAGGUCUUCAGAAAGAGUGUGUGGGAUUGGUUCCUCUAGCCAAUGCUAGCGCACACAAGCAUACACCACAUGGACAGACAGACAGAGAGGCUUCAUUACCCAUUCCAGAUUAUGAUUUCAUUUUCAGUCAUUACUCUUCCUUUCCCAACUUCUGACUUGAAAUAUUUUGGUUCUAAAAAAGGAAAUAUAAGACUGACUACUAAAAGUGUACUCAGAAAUUACUCAGCCUACUUUGUCUUCCCUUCAUCUAUGAAGAUCCCUGGACGCUUUAUAUACAAGGAACAAAUCAGUAUUUGGAUUUGGAGGCCUUAGAAUAACCCAGAGCAGAGGAAAUAUGUGAAUCCUCUGUUGGAGAAAAUCUCAGAUAAUUGCAGUUGGUGCCCCUUGUGCUUUAUCUCCUCUCAAACACAUUUGGGGACAUUGCUAUAAAUGAAGAAAAUAAU